AACGAACGCUGGCGGCAGGCCUAACACAUGCAAGUCGAGCGAACCUUCGGGUUAGCGGCGGACGGGUGAGUAACGCGUGGGGAUGUGCCUCGGGGUGCGGAACAACAGUUGGAAACGACUGCUAAUACCGCAUGAUGUCUACGGACCAAAGAUUUAUCGCCCCGAGAUCAACCCGCGUUGGAUUAGAUAGUUGGUGAGGUAACGGCUCACCAAGUCGACGAUCCAUAUCUGGUUUGAGAGGAUGAUCAGACACACUGGGACUGAGACACGGCCCAGACUCCUACGGGAGGCAGCAGUGGGGAAUCUUGGACAAUGGGCGCAAGCCUGAUCCAGCCAUGCCGCGUGAGCGAUGAAGGCCUUAGGGUUGUAAAGCUCUUUCACCGGUGAAGAUAAUGACGGUAGCCGGAGAAGAAGCCCCGGCUAACUCCG
rnacentral:rRNA from 1 species